GAGAGAGAGAGAGAGAGAGAGUGCGUGUGUGUGUUCAAAUCAACUUUAGUUAGCUACCACGCCAUCAUUAGCAUACAGUGUAGAGAGGAAACAAAAUUUGAUAUAGGGUAUAAUUGUUACUAUGAGACUUUUGCUUAUUUUAAAAGCCUGCAAAUGAAGAAAAGGUACAGUUUUGGAUUUUUUUAGUCAUUAACUUGAUGCAUACAGCUACAUAAUUUACAGCAUUGAAAAAGACACCUAAAAUUAUAUUUAUUUUGCCCACAUGAACAAGCAAGUGCAAGCAUAUUUAAGAUAUUAUGUAUGCAUCCAACUUCCAACAUUGGUCAUAUGACAUCAUUUCCCAUGUUAGACAUGUUGCACCCAUUUCAUGAAGAAUAGAAUACCGAAGCAUCAAUUCAUGUUAACCAGGGAGCAAUUAUAAUUUUCUUAUAGUCAUGAGAGGAGGCUUAGUUCAUCAAACCAAUAUAUGGCAUGGCCCUGAUCUAGAUAGUGAAAGCUAACUCAGCAGUUUCUUCACUCAGAAAUCAAACCAUUUUAGGAUCAUCAAUUUUGGGCCUCCAAAAUAAAUCACUUUGUUCUCUCAUCAUACCCAUUCAAGGAAAAAUACCACAAAUUUCACCAGAUGGCACCUACUAUGGUCUUAAAGACUUCAAAGUUUUGACAACAAGAUUUCAACUCCUGGCAUCCUUCCACAUUUGCAGAAAUUUUCUGUGGUUUUUGGCAUGUAGAAUGCUGGACCUACCAAGGCCGGCUUAUCUUAAGACAAACAGCUGAACUCCCAGCAAUAAUAGUGAUAAAAUGUUACCUCUAUCAAAUAAACAGAGGAGAGAAAAAGGUGGCCCACAUCCAGGGGGCAUAGAGUAGAGGGGGAGUGCAACACAAUGCAGAUCCCUUUCAUUCAUACCUGUAACGUGUAUAAAAUGUUGGUCCCUUUAAUAUAUUUUCACCUUACUAAGGCCAGGAAUUCAAGUAACCCACUUUAUUGAUUAUAACUCAACACUUAUUUUAAGUGCAGUGUCAAUUUCCACAUCCCACUGCAGAAGAAUCAAUGGAGUUUUUGUUAUUUGUUAUGUGAAACAGUCUAAAGAUUCUCUAGUAAACACGAUCAAUCUCACAAUUUCAGCCAAUAGAAUAUUCAUCGCCCCUCCAAAGGGCCUUCUAGACAAAGGAAAAUGACACUUUGCAUUUUAUGAAACAGUGAUAUAAAUUGUAUCAAAUUGCAAAAAAUCAGACUUCCACUAUUUUCUUUCCAUUACAAUAGCUAAAUAUUAAGCUGUAGCUAAAAUACGAAUACACGAAGUUGAAUGUGUUUUCCAGAAUCAAUUAUCAUGGUUGCAACAGAUAAAAUAUGGAAUAUACCAAUGACUACGGACAAGUAUUUUCAGUUAUAAUUAUGUGAAAAGCUAAAUCAAACAUUCAUGAAUUCAGUAUCUUAGAAAGUAUGGCAAUGCUCUUCAAACAGGCUUAGUACAAAGACACAGCCAAACACUAAAUCUUGGACCCAUAUGAAGAGAAGAAGCAAAACUCAUAAAAUUUACACCUCUAAAUAGGAGCAUUCAUCUACCAUAUUAAGACGAGAAAAUAAAAUAGCUAAAAUACCUCAUUAACUGCUCCAGUGCCAGGAUAAAACUUUCCUCCCUCGUGUCUAUGCAAGGAUAUGUACAAUACCGAUUUGUUCUGCUCAAAUAUUUCUUGAGUGCCAUUUCCAUGAUGAACAUCCCAGUCGACUAUUAGCACUUUCUUGGCACCAGCGACCUGAGCAGCUAAUGCAGCAAUUGCUGCAUUAUUGUGGAGGCAGAAUCCCAUUGCUUGUUUUAUACCAGCAUGAUGGCCAGGAGGUCGAACCAGAGCAAAACCAUUUUUGGCAGGUCCAGAAAAAAUUGCUGAAGCAAGAUCAGCACACAAUCCUGCUGCAAGCCUAGCAGCACAAGCUGAAUGCUCAUUAGCAUAUGUGUCAGGAGUGAAGUAGCUAGAGAAAAUACGGCUUGUAAGUUCUACAGCCUGAACAUGCUCCAAGGAAUGAACCAUCUGAAGUUCUUGUUGCGUAAUUUCUCUUGCAGGAAUUGGGUAGCAUCUUCCAGGAAAUAUACCAGCAGUGGCAAGGCUAGCAGCUAUAGCUCGCAGGCGAUCAGGUCUUUCUGGAUGCGGAUGUGACUUCAUUUCAAUUUCUGAAUGUAGCAACAUUCUUUCAUCAAAACCAACUGCUGUGCAACUGUUUGAGGAUGAAUAUUGUACAUAAGUGUCUUUGUUUCUCCCCUUCACUUGUGUCUGGACCUCAGUAACACCUGCAUCUUGUGAAAAUGGCGAAGCAAGAAAUCCAUGCCUCAAGAUACCAGAUUCUUUAUGUUCUCCACAUAUAUCACAAUGAACAACAUCAUUGAGAUUAACCAUCGUGCAGUUGGUACAAAACCACUUCAUGAUAUGCACACGCUUUUGUAGAGGCUCCCAAUCACUGUCAUCAUCGUCAUCAUCAAACAAGUCUUGGUUGUUGUACAUAUCUUGAGAAGUCAUUUCUCUCUGCUUUGUCUUUCUUGAUACAACAACAUCAGGAAAUGUGUCCACAUCCAUAGUGCCAUUCAUGUCUCUGGAGGGUGUUGUUAGGAUAUCUUCAUCACCAGAAAUUUCAUCAUAACUACAACUAGCACGAGUUCCAUUAGAACCUAAGCUUUCAUGUCUUCCAAUAAUGCCAUUACGUGAAACUCCAUGACUUUGUUUGUGAAGACUCAUCUCUGAAUCCCCAUUCACCAGACGAUUUGUUUCCAAAACCAUUUUGCCUUCAGAUUUUGCAUAAAGACUUUCUGCCACAACCACCUGAACAGUUUUCUAUGAAGAUCUCGUACGUUUCUCUUGGUUGAUUGUUUACGGUGAAGACAAUCUCUUCGUCGAAAAACGGCUGCUGCUAAUGCAUUGGAAAUGACGGAGACUGUUUUAGAAGAUAAAGAAAUUCCCUGGAAAAUCUUUGUGCUUUUUUUUUCUACUUCCUCUCCGUUCGUACCAAAGCUGGUUCGCACACAGCC
rnacentral:misc_RNA from 1 species